CACGUAGGCACCAAGCGUUGUCCGGAUUUAUUGGGCGUAAAGAGCUCGUAGGCGGUUCGGUAAGUCGGGUGUGAAAACUCUGGGCUCAACCCAGAGCCGCCACCCGAUACUGCUGUGACUCGAGUGCGGUAGGGGAGGCGGGGAAUUCCUGGUGUAGGCGGUGAAAUGCGCAGAUAUCAGGAGGAACACCAGUGGCGAAGGCGCCGCUCUGGGCCGUGACUGACGCUGAGGAGCGAAAGCGUGGGUAGCAAACAGG
rnacentral:rRNA from 1 species